rnacentral:lncRNA from 1 species
GCCACAGCUGCUGCAUAUGGAAGUCCCUGAGCUAGGAGUCGAUUUACAGCUGCAGCUCCACAGCAACACUGGACCCAAGCCACAUCUGCGACCUACACCACAGUUCAGAGCAACACCAGAUCCUUAACCCACUGAGCAAGGUCAGGGAUCAACCCUAUAUCCUCAUGGAUACUAGUCAGGUUCUUAACCCACUGAGUCAUAACAAGAAAACUCCAGGAAAACAGGAAUUCCAGGAAACUAUUCUUUUUGUUGUUGUUGUUGCUUUUUAGGGCUGCAACUGCAGCAUAAGGAGGUUCCCAGUCUAGGAGUCAAAUCAGAGCUAUAGCCACAGCAAUGAUCCAAGGCAUGUUUGCGAACUAACCACAGCUCAUGGCAACACUGGAUCCUUAACCCACUGAGUGAGGUCAGGGAUUGAACCUGCGUCCUCAUGGAUACUCUUCAGAUUCGUUUCCACUAAGCCACGAUGGGAACUCCUCCAGAAAACUAUUCUUAAUGACACUUUGCAGAUAGAAAGCAGGGACUAAGAACGGUUAAGAAACACGCCAAUGGCUCAACAGUGGUAAGUGGCAAUGUCAAGACACAAUUUUGAGUGAUCUCUGACAACAAAAUGUAUGGCCUAAACUGUCAUGAAACAGUGACCUCUGUGCCUGACUCGAUAAUGCACACCUCCAACAGAUCAGGAAAGACAGAAAUCACUGCCAUAAAACAUCUUCCUUUUAGUUCAUGCAAUUUAAAGAUGGUUAUACAUGAUAAAGAAGAAAGGGCCAGAAAGUUUAAGUAGAAGCUUUCACAGACUUCACAAACAUAUGUUAACAGAAUUGUUUUUAAUUCAUUUCCCUGUAACAUCUCUAAGAAAACAACAACUGCACAUUAUUCAAUUAUGGAUUACUGAAGAAAUAAGGCAAAGAAAAGAAUCAGGCACAUUAACCACUCCUUUGAUUCGAAGCAUAGAACUUUAGUUCCCAUGAGAUAAAGUUACUCUGUGUUUUUGGCUUUAAAUGAUUCCUUUGAUGAAAUCUCGAAUUCAUUAUUAAAUAAAUAAGCAAACUCACAUUUACAUAGUUCAUUUUCUCCUUAGUAUCAGUACUUUCACAGUUGUAGUAAAAUAGCCAAUGUUCAAUUAUCUAUAGUCUUAUAAGGGAUCGCAGUAUAAGCAAUCCCAAAUGAGAGAUAAUCCAAAAAGCAUUUAUGUUGGGUUUUAAAUUCAUUAUAUGAUUCUGGCAGAUUUACCACCAUAAUUAUAUUCUUUUUCUUCGGCUCAUAUUAAAAUUCAUUUGUAUUUCUUGAGCACAAGCCAACUGACAGCAGAAGGGAGGAUCCCAUAUACAAGCUGGAUGACAAAAGGAAGCUGAUUUGCUAUUGGCAUUUUUUUUUCCUUGUAGAUAAUUGACAUGAAGAUAAUCAAGAGCUGGUUGAGAAACUGCAUUUCACAUUUAUUACAUGUCUUAUACGAUUAAUUUUAAAGGAUUGAUUACAACACUAUAGCAGCAGUAUGAAGGGCAUGGACUAUGGUCACCCACAGACUUAGCUUUGUGUCCUCACUCUGUCCCAAUUUUGCGACACACGAAAUUGACCACAAGCAAGUUGCUUAUCUUCUACUCUUCCAUCCCUCACUUACAAAUGGUGCUAAUAUCUCCACCUACAUUUGAAAGGAGUUCUGAAGAUUAAGUUGUUGGAUAUAUCCUGCCUGACACAAAGUACUCAAAGUUGCGGCUGUAUUUUUUGUAGCUAUUAUUAAUUCUAGUUCACUCUAGUGCUAAAACUAGAGAUGACUAUCUGAUAGUUGGUAUCAGUUUAGCUUCCAUAAAAUGACGCUGCCCUGAUUAGUGAAUAAAUUAUAUUAGCACACUGUAGGUCAAAUGUUAAAAUGUGUUCAUAAUAUUUUCCAGCAGAAGAUACUUAGAUAUAUCUAAUAACAUAGUUAUCAAAACUAAGUGAAAAACACAUGAAAUGCACAAUUUCUUGUUUUAAAUUUUGGGGGCCAUAUAGGUUUCAGAAUUCAAAGCUUUUAGGAUUUUAAUGUAAUAGCACACCGCCAAGAGGGUUUGGAAUAGAACUACAUUCUCAGACAUAGUAACAUUUCUGCAGUAAAGUAAGUGAGCAUUUUCACUGAGUGGUAGAAAUAAGGCUAUAAAUAUCUGUGCAUUGGUUUAGUUCAGGCUUUAACACUAAAUGAGUGUUUUUUUAUGUUAAAUUUUCAGACCUUUUAACGGAUAGGAGACUAUGAAACUAGAUUGAAUAAAAUGAUAUCAAUAAUACCAAUUCAACUUUUUUUUCAUUAAAGCUGUGCCACACAUCUCAAAAUUAUAGGGUAAGACAACUGAAGAACUAAAAAUUCUUUCUUCUGGUUUGCAUAAAAUGAUCCUGGAUAAUUUCUUGCCAUAGCAACUCAAAACAGUUCAAGCCUAAGUAAUUAAGCAACCCCUUAAUUUUAUAAAGGAUACAGCAGUUAUCCUGAUGUGUAGAAAGGUGGCAUAUAUAUGACAUGAUCCCUUUCCCCUUCCACUUCAAUUAGAAAUUGAUUUCUUUCCGAGCUGUGCUUUACUGGUCAGCUGGAUUAAAUUAUUAGAUUUGAGUUUUAAUAAGCUACUAUAUGUUUUGAGGCUUUCCCUGGUCAGUAGAUAAAGAUAGAACAUAAGCAAUACCAAUACAAAAAGAGGCUGAGGUUGUAAAGGAACACAGGAUUUUUUUACACUUUAUUUUCCCACAAAUACACACAAAUUAUACCAGACUGUAAAUAAUCCCCAGGAUGAAAGGCAACAUUUUGAUGUAUACGUGUCAAAGAUCGAAGGAAAGGUUUUAACCAUUUGUUGAAACAUCUGUAUUUUGAUUAUGAGUAAAAGAACUCAAUAAGUCUAAUGGGAAGGAUUUUUUUUCUUUUUUGGCGACCACAGGGCAUAUGGAGUUCCCUGCACCUGGGAUCAGAUUUGAACCACAGUUGCAACCUAGGCCACAGGUGCGACCUACACCUCAGCUGUGACAAUGCUAGGUCCUUUACCCCACUGUGCCUGGCCAGGGAUGGAAUCUGUGUCCUGGUACUGCAGAGACACCUCCAAUCCCUUUGUGCCACAGUGGGAGCUCCUAUUCAGAGGCACUUUAAAUUACAAAGAGUUCAGAAAUUAGUCUGACUGGCAAGGCAGGACUUCCUAAAUAUUCU